rnacentral:tRNA from 1 species
GGACGCGUAGCUCAGUUGGCAGAGCAUUGGGCUAGUAUUCCAAAGGUCGUAGGUUCGAUUCCCACUGCGGCCG